AACCAACUUCCAAGCGCAGUGGUGCUGGCUCCUACCCUAGGGGGCUUUAAGAGGAGGGUUGAUGUACACCUGCCAUGGCAGGGGUUGUUUGACACCCAGUA